GUGCGAGCUGCGUCGAUGUGUUUGUUUGACCGUGUGUUAUUAGGUUUGCUGUAAUGAAAUGAGACGUAGUUCGCGAGCACGAAAGUGCCAGAAGAUGGCUUGAGUCUCGCUGUAAGCACGCCGUAUGCGUGGCGCGCCAGCUAAAUGUGGACCAACGAUUUUCAUGCCAUGGAGUGCGUUCCCUUUGUCUCCGCUUGUGUUCGUGGAAAGUUUGGUGGACGGCGCAGAGAAGUAAUGCGUAUUAUUAGCGCGCCUCAGCUCGUCCACUACCCAGUGGCUUGUUUGCUGCAAGUAACAUCGCAGACGCAUCACUGGAAACUUGGAGAGUGCCUUUCGACCUCGCCGUACUGUUGAAACGUGGCGAGGCCGUGACCCACAACAUAAACUACAAGAUCGAGGAGCCCCAAGAAAUGCAGACCCUGUGGAUAUAUGGCUGCAGCAGCACGGCGUGUGAUCUGGAUCGUCAUGACAGGCUCCACCGUCGCCGUUACUAGACGGACCAAAUGAGGCCAAAAACUAGCCUUUCCUUGCUCCAUUCCUGGGAAGUGAAAUAGCAGGUGGUCAUGUAAGAAUGAACUUGCAACCAUGUGGGCAGUAGCCAAAGCUCCCUACAGUUCAUGCUGGUGGUGGAAUGAUAAGACAAACCGCAAUAUUUAUUUCUUUACUUAUUCACUUAAUAUUUAUUUAUUCAUAUCUCAUGAAUACUGUGCAGUUUUUUUAGCAAGGAGUCAGGUAAAAUAAAGAAAUAUUGUUGCAUCAAAGUAAACAUUUGAAAAAGCAUAAUUCACGUAGCACGAAUUCAUGGAAACUAAAUUUUGAAGAAACAGAGCAGUAAGGUUAACAAAUCUUAUAUAACAAAAAUGAGAUAACAUUUCUGUUGGACCUAAUACCAUAAUUUAAUCUGUCAAAUUAGAGAUACCAUAUGCUGCUCUAAUAUACAAUCACUAAUUUAUGAGUAGAUGCGCGAAACUCUCAAACGUAGCAACAAUUUCAUGCAAUCUGUAAAUUCAUAUAUACAGUUUGUUGACUUUAGACAUAGCAGAUGGAGUCUGCAGAACUAUGAUAUCUCUUUCUGGCACAGAGACGGGGAUUAGUAAGCUUCGUGGUGUUAUUUUUCUUAAACCUGCCAAAUAGUUCUUCCUGCAACAGGUAGAAUUCUCAAAUGCCGCAAACUUAAUUCAAAUUAGUGCUGUGGUUGUCUCAAAAGUAUUUCUGUAUUUUGGAUGUAUUUGAGUAGGAAAAUUUACAGAAUUAACGAACUUGUGCUAGCUCUUUUUUUUAUUUACAGUUGCAAACUAAGUCCUUUUCCUUCAAGUUUUGCUAUUUUCAGCAAAUUUUAAUAAAAAUUGAUGGUGUUAAUGUAAAAACUAUAAUUUAAACAUUUCUAAAUGUAUCAAACCUCAUCAAAUUUGGUUGCAUAG